rnacentral:misc_RNA from 1 species
CGCACAUUGCGCCCGCUAGUAUUCUGGCGGGCAUGCCUGUCCGAGCGUCAUUUCAACCCUCAGGCCCUGGUGCCUGGUGUUGGGGCGCCGCGUCCCCCAGCGGGCGCGGGCCCCCAAAGUCAGUGGCGGGCUCGCCAGGACUCCGAGCGCAGUAGUUUACACCUCGCUGCGGAGGACCUGGCGGGUUUCCCGGCCGUAAAACCCCCCAAACUUACAAGGUUGACCUCGGAUCAGGUAGGAAUACCCGCUGAACUUAA